AGUGAAGAGGGAAGAGCUCAUCAUUGGAAUCUGGCAGUGUUGCACUGUCCGAGUUGUAGAUGAGGAGUAGUCCGUCUGGACUGCAUGGCGUCCAAGUACAAUAGGCCGUCAGUGGGACAUCAUAGAGGGUGACAAUCCCGUCCUUGACGCCAAUGUGCAAGUCUAUURCGAUGGCUAUCUCAGAGAGUCGAGCAGUUUGGGAUUUGCUGCUUAAACAUGGGAGGUAGAUUCCUUCUAAAGCUAAAUACAGGCGAGAGACCGAUAGAGAACAAGUACCGCAAGGGAAAGAUGAAAUAGCACUCUGUGAAGGGAGUCAAAAGGCGUGAAAUUGUUGCGAGAGAAGCGAUUCAAGUCAGCGUAGCUAGGCCCAUCAAGCGUCUUCGCUUUGGACUAGCUUUGCCAGCGGUCUUGUCCCUUGAAGAGACUUGACUUGUAAUAUGUCCAGCCUGGCGUGCACAGGCAGCCCCUUCUGGGGGCCAGUGGCAUGGCUGGUGGAAUGGCUUGCAAUCGACCCGUCUUGAAACACGGACCAAGGAGUCUAACAUGUAUGCGAGUAUAAGGGUGGCAAACCCGUAUGCGCAAUGAAAGUGAUUUUCGGUGAUUGAGAAUGGCCUGAUGACCAGACAAGCAAUAUAUGUCCCUCGUACGGCCAUUGCCCAAGUUCCGUGGUAGAUCCCACGAACAUGGAGUUGGAGCAUACAUGCUAGGACCCGAAAGAUGGUGAACUAUGCCUGGACAAAGCGAAGCCAAAGGAAACUCUGGUGGAGGCUUGUAGCGAUUCUGACGUGCAAAUCGAUCGUCUGAUCUGGGUAUAGGGGCGAAAGACUAAUCG
rnacentral:rRNA from 1 species